AUUGAACGCUGGCGGCAUGCUUUACACAUGCAAGUCGAACGGUAACAGGUUAAGCUGACGAGUGGCGAACGGGUGAGUAAUGCAUCGGAACGUGCCCGAUCGUGGGGGAUAACACUUCGAAAGAAGUGCUAAUACCGCAUACGAUCUGAGGAUGAAAGCGGGGGACCGUAAGGCCUCGCGCGAUCGGAGCGGCCGAUGUCAGAUUAGGUAGUUGGUGGGGUAAAGGCUCACCAAGCCGACGAUCUGUAGCUGGUCUGAGAGGACGACCAGCCACACUGGAGCUGAGACACGGCCCAGACUCCUACGGGAGGCAGCAGUGUGGAAUUUUGGACAAUGGGCGCAAGCCUGUUCCAGCAAUGCCGCGUGCAGGAAGAAGGCCUUCGGGUUGUAAACUGCUUUUGUACGGAGCGAAAAGGCUCUCUCUAAUACAGGGGGCUCAUGACGGUACCGUAAGAAUAAGCACCGGCUAACUACGUGCCAGCCGCCGCAGUAA
rnacentral:rRNA from 1 species